GAGCCACUCGGGUGGUCCACCUGGGUUCCUAUCAAAUCUGACCAUGUUUCCAAUUAAAGUCCCCACCAGCCGGAAAAUCAUACCAACAGAAACUGCAACAGGUAUGGCUAAACCGAGGAGCAAAGUUAUAAUUUUGAGUGGCUUUGGUAACCGAACAGGAGUCAGCGUUGCUUCCAGAAAACCGUAAGCAAAAGAAGGUGACACUAGCCAGAUGAGUGCUAAAUAAGAAGACCCAACCUUAUAAAAGUUGCCCAAAAUAAGAAGGAUGAGCCAUUGGAAAAUACCAGCUUUAAAAAGCCACCUUUCAGAUUCCCAUUUUACUACAUUCU
rnacentral:misc_RNA from 1 species